GACGAACGCUGGCGGCGUGCUUAACACAUGCAAGUCGAACGGAAAGGCCCUGCUUUUGUGGGGUGCUCGAGUGGCGAACGGGUGAGUAACACGUGAGUAACCUGCCCUUGACUUUGGGAUAACUUCAGGAAACUGGGGCUAAUACCGGAUAGGAGCUCCUGCUGCAUGGUGGGGGUUGGAAAGUUUCGGCGGUUGGGGAUGGACUCGCGGCUUAUCAGCUUGUUGGGGGGGUAGUGGCUUACCAAGGCUUUGACGGGUAGCCGGCCUGAGAGGGUGACCGGCCACAUUGGGACUGAGAUACGGACCAGACUCCUACGGGAGGCAGCAGUGGGGAAUAUUGCACAGUAGGGGGAAGCCUGAUGCAGAGACGCCGCGUGCGGGAUGAAGGCCUUCGGGUUGUAAACCGCUUUCGCCUGUGACGAAGCGUGAGUGACGGUAAUGGGUAAAGAAGCACCGGCUAACUACGUG
rnacentral:rRNA from 1 species